AACGAACGCUGGCGGCAUGCCUAACACAUGCAAGUCGAACGAGACCUUCGGGUCUAGUGGCGCACGGGUGCGUAACGCGUGGGAACCUGCCCUUAGGUUCGGAAUAACUCCCAGAAAGGGGUGCUAAUACCGGAUAAUGUCUUCGGACCAAAGAUUUAUCGCCUUUGGAUGGGCCCGCGUUGGAUUAGCUAGUUGGUAGGGUAAAAGCCUACCAAGGCGACGAUCCAUAGCUGGUCUGAGAGGAUGGUCAGCCACACUGGGACUGAGACACGGCCCAGACUCCUACGGGAGGCAGCAGUGGGUAAUAUUGGACAAUGGGGGAAAGCCUGAUCCGGCAAGGCCGCGUGAGUGAUGAAGGCCUUAGGGUUGUAAAGCUCUUUUACCCGGGAUGAUAAUGACAGUACCGGGAGAAUAAGCUCCGGCUAACUCCGUG
rnacentral:rRNA from 1 species